GAUGAACGCUAGCGGCAGGCCUAAUACAUGCAAGUCGAACGGGAUCAGGGAGCUUGCUCCCUGUGAGAGUGGCGCACGGGUGCGUAACACGUAUGCAACCUACCUUCAACUGGGGGAUAGCCUUCCGAAAGGAAGAUUAAUACCGCAUAACAUAAUUGAAUGGCAUCAUUUGAUUAUCAAACGUCAGGGUUGAAGAUGGGCAUGCGUCCGAUUAGCUAGUUGGUGUUGUAACGGCAAACCAAGGCGACGAUCGGUAGGGGAUCUGAGAGGAUGACGCCCCCGACUGGUACUGAGACACUGACCAAGCUCCUACGGCAUGCAGCAGUAAGGAGUAUGGGUAGAUGGACGCAAGUCUGAACCAGCCAUGCCGCGUGCAGGAAGACGGUCCUCUGGAUUGUAAACUUCUUUUGUUAGGUAAGAGACCCUAGGAUGCGUCCGGGGCUGACGGUACCUAAAGCAUAAGGACCGGCUAACUCCGUGCCAGCCGCCGCAGUAAACC
rnacentral:rRNA from 1 species